GACGGUAUGGUAUUGGCUUACCGUGGCAGUGACGGUUAACGGGGGAUUAGGGUUCGAUUCCGGAGAGGGAGCCUGAGAAACGGCUACCACAUCUAAGGAAGGCAGCAGGCGCGCAAAUUACCCAAUUCUAACAGCAUAAGAGAGGUAGUGACAAGAAAUAACAAUACAAGGCAGUUAAAAUGCUUUGUAAUUGGAAUGAUAGAAAUUUAAACACUUUUUAAAGUAUCAAUUGGAGGGCAAGUCUGGUGCCAGCAGCCGCGGUAAUUCCAGCUCCAAUAGCGUAUAUUAAAAUUGUUGCAGUUAAAAAGCUCGUAGUUGAAUUUCUGCUAAAAAUAACCGGUCUGCUUUUAACAAAAGUGGUAUCUUGGUGUGUUUUUAGCAAUAAUGUCCUUUGAAAUGUGUUUUACUUUGUUGUAAAAGAUAAUAUUCAGGAUUUUUACUUUGAGAAAAUUAGAGUGUUUCUAGCAGGCUAAUGUUUUGAAUACUGCAGCAUGGAAUAAUAAAAUAUGAUUUUGGUUCUACAUUGUUGGUUUUAAGAGCUGAAUUAAUGAUUGAUAGGAACAGUUGGGGGCAUUUGUAUUUAACUGUCAGAGGU
rnacentral:rRNA from 1 species